rnacentral:lncRNA from 1 species
AUCUAUAUUUCUGGCCACUUUGAACCGACAUCACCACACAAAUUAAAAUAUAAGUUAAUUAAGCUUAUUGACAAUGAUAUCUUAAAAUUUCAUAGAAUUAAUUUGAGUAUUCUCGAUUUCUUAUGGCCGUUAAAUUUUAAAAUGAUUCACAUUGAUUUAUUUUUCGUAGGCAUCUCAAAAAUCAUUUUGUUAAGCUACAGAUUAUUCACAAAUAGAUUUAAUCCCCAUAAUUUAUAGGAAAAAUAAGAAGAAAAACAAAAAGUAAUCUGUCAAAGGAGUCGAGAACGACGAGUGCCUAAGGAAGAAGAAGAACGGGCAAAAGCUUUAGUAGGUGGGGUUGAAUUAUUUAGGGUUGAAAACAGUACUUAUUUAUAGUUAGAUUGGGCAAUAGGCCAUAAGCCAGGUGUCAUAACUUUAUUCG